rnacentral:rRNA from 1 species
UACGGGGGGAGCAAGCGUUGUUCGGAAUUACUGGGCGUAAAGAGUGUGUAGGCGGUGUUCUAAGUUUGUCGUGAAAUCUCCCGGCUUAACUGGGAGGGUGCGGCGAAAACUGGAAUGCUAGAGGAUGGGAGAGGUAAGCGGAAUUCCUGGUGUAGCGGUGAAAUGCGUAGAUAUCAGGAGGAACACCUGUGGUGUAGACAGCUUACUGGACCGGUAUUGACGCUGAGGAGCGAAAGCCAGGGGAGCAAACGGG